GGGACACGCCGUCAUGGCCUGGCGAAGUGCAGCAAGUGUCGGCGUGAUGACGGUGUCAUGACGGUGUCGCUGUGCGGGGGAAGACGACAUCUUAGUGAGUUGACCAACGUCUGACAGAGUGGGCGGAGCUUGUCCAGCGCGGCAUUCCAUUCGUCUUUGUCAUGGUCCCCCAGGUUUUCCCUGAGGUCGAGGGUGAGAUGGCGCGGCGGGGGACACGCCGUCAUAGCCUCGGCGAAGUGCAUCAGGUCCACCGAGUUGAUGGAGUUGAGGCUGUGCGGGAGAAGACAAAGACAUCUUAGUAAAGGUGGAGGAGGCCGACCACAUCUACCUGCUGAUGGAGGUCUCCAGCAACGUGCGUCUGGCCUGGUUCCUGGGUAAACUCAACCAAGUCGUCUGGCCCGCCUCCAAGCCUGAGCUGACUCCUGGUCUACA